UAAUUAAUUAUCACCACUAAUUUCUUACACAUCUAACAUUUUGACGACCUGCCUAGCGCAGUGGUAAGCGCUGUGGUCUUAUUAGUGGGAGUUCCCGGGUGCGAUUCCCGGCAGGGGU